UACGGAGGGUGCGAGCGUUGUCCGGAAUCACUGGGCGUAAAGGGCGCGUAGGCGGCGCGGGGAGUCAACGGUGAAAGCUCGGCGCUCAACGCCGAGUCGGCCGUCGAUACUCCCCGUGCUCGAGCACUGUAGAGGCAGGUGGAAUUCCUGGUGUAGGCGGUGAAAUGCGUAGAUAUCAGGAGGAACACCUGCGGUGUAGACGGCUUUCUGGACCAUUGCUGACGCUGAGACACGAAAGCGUGGGUAGCAAACAGG
rnacentral:rRNA from 1 species